UACGUAGGGCGCAAGCGUUGUCCGGAUUCACUGGGGUUAAAGGGUGCGUAGGUGGGUUGGUAAGUCAGUGGGGAAAUCCCCGAGCUUAACUUGGGAACUGCCAUUGAUACUAUCAGUCUUGAAUACCGUGGAGGUCAGCGGAAUAUGUCAUGUAGCGGUGAAAUGCUUAGAUAUGACAUAGAACACCAAUUGCGAAGGCAGCUGGCUACACGAAUAUUGACACUGAGGCACGAAAUCGUGGGGAGCAAACAGG
rnacentral:rRNA from 1 species